rnacentral:hammerhead_ribozyme from 1 species
NUCCAGCUGACGAGUCCCAAAUAGGACGAAACGCGUGUCCUGGAU